rnacentral:rRNA from 1 species
UACGUGGGGAGCAAGCGUUGUCCGGAAUCAUUGGGCGUAAAGCGCGCGUAGGUGGCCAUGUAAGUCCGCUGUGAAAGUCGAAGGCUCAACCUUCGAAAGCCGGUGGAUACUGCAUGGCUAGAGUACGGAAGAGGCGAGUGGAAUUCCUGGUGUAGCGGUGGAAUGCGCAGAUAUCAGGAGGAACACCAAUAGCGAAGGCAGCUCGCUGGGACGUUACUGACACUGAGGCGCGAAAGCGUGGGGAGCGAACAGG